UCCGGUUUGUCACCGGCAGUCUCAUUAAAGUGCCCAUCUUUCAUGCUGGCAAUUAAUGACAAGGGUUGCGCUCGUUGCGGGACUUAACCCAACAUCUCACGACACGAGCUGACGACAGCCAUGCAGCACCUGUGCGACCAUUCUCUUGCGAGCACAACUCCAUCUCUGGAGUCUUUGAUCCAUGUCAAGGGUAGGUAAGGUUUUUCGCGUUGCAUCGAAUUAAUCCACAUCAUCCACCGCUUGUGCGGGUCCCCGUCAAUUCCUUUGAGUUUUAAUCUUGCGACCGUACUCCCCAGGCGGUCAACUUCACGCGUUAGCUGCGUUACCAAGACAAUUAAGUCCCGACAACUAGUUGACAUCGUUUAGGGCGUGGACUAC
rnacentral:misc_RNA from 1 species